rnacentral:sRNA from 1 species
GUGUCUCCAACGAAUCCCCCCAGUGCUCCCCAGCCCCGCGCGCUCCGGCCGUUCCCGCCGUCCCCGCCUGUGGCUGCCCCCUGCCCAACCCCGCGAUGUGACCCUACAGCCGAAAGCCGCCGCUGCCGACCCGGGGGCUCCGCAGCCCCUGCCGCCGCCGCCUUCACCGCCGCCGCGUUGGGAUUUUUCGUCGCUGCCGCCCGCGGCGGAGGAGGAGGCGGCGAUAAAGUUGGUGUGCUGGUCCCGCGCGCAGAUUGGGGGCGUCAUUGCGGGCCCCGGUCCGAGGGGGGGUGUCGGCGUUGGAGUUGUGAAUUCGCUGCGUUUCCAUGAAAUCCUGCGGAGUGUCGCUCGCUACCGCCGCCGCUGCCGCCGCCGCUUUCGGUGAUGAGGAAAAGAAAAUGGCGGCGGGAAAAGCGAGCGGCGAGAGCAAGGAGGCGUCCCCCAGCCUGACAGCCGAGGAGAGGGAGGCGCUCGGCGGACUGGACAGCCGCCUCUUCGGGUUCGUGAGGUUUCAUGAAGAUGGCGCCAGGACGAAGGCCCUACUGGGCAAGGUAAGGCAGCCGCGAGUCGGAGCGCGGACACCGUCUCCCUGGCCGGCGCCGCGCUCGCCCCGGGCCCCGCGGCCGGGUCUGCGCUCAUUGUGGCCGCGGACGAUGGUCGAGGGGCUUCCGGAAAACUAUUUCCUGCCUCUGCUCUCCCCCCACCCCCGGGUACCCUGCUUGCUCCCUUGCGAAAUCGCUCUUUUCUUCUUGUAGCUGGAGGAACAGAGACGGGAUCGCUU